rnacentral:tRNA from 1 species
CAGGGGGUAGUUCAGUUGGCCAGAACGCCGGAAUCGGGGUCCGGAGGUCGAGGGUUCAAGUCCCUCCCCCCUGA